UCUGGUUGAUCCUGCCAGUAGUUAUAUGCUUGUCUCAAAGAUUAAGCCAUGCAUGUCUAAGUACACACGAAUUAAAAGUGAAACCGCAAAAGGCUCAUUAUAUCAGUUAUGGUUCCUUAGAUCGUUAACAGUUACUUGGAUAACUGUGGUAAUUCUAGAGCUAAUACAUGCAAUUAAAACAUGAACCUUAUGGAACAUGUGCUUUUAUUAGGCUAAAACCAAGCGAUCGCAAGAUCGUUAUAUUGGUUGAACUCUAGAUAACAUGCAGAUCGUAUGGUCUUGUACCGACGACAGAUCUUUCAAAUGUCUGCCCUAUCAACUUUUGAUUGGUAGUAUCUAGGACUACCAUGGUUGCAACGGGUAACGGGGAAUCAGGGUUCGAUUCCGGAGAGGGAGCCUGAGAAACGGCUACCACAUCUAAGGAAGGCAGCAGGCGCGUAAAUUACCCACUCCCAGCUCGGGGAGGUAGUGACGAAAAAUAACAAAUACAGGACUCAUAUCCGAGGCCCUGUAAUUGGAAUGAGUACACUUUAAAUCCUUUAACAAGGACCAAUUGGAGGGCAAGUCUGGUGCCAGCAGCCGCGGUAAUUCCAGCUCCAAUAGCGUAUAUUAAAGUUGUUGCGGUUAAAACGUUCGUAGUUGAACUUGUGCUUCAUACGGGUAGUACAACUUACAAUUGUGGUUAGUACUAUACCUUUAUGUAUGUAAGCGUAUUACCGGUGGAGUUCUUACAUGUGCUUAGAUACUUGUAUUUUUUCAUAUGUUCCUCCUAUUUAAAAACCUGCAUUAGUGCUCUUAAACGAGUGUUAUUGUGGGCCGGUACAAUUACUUUGAACAAAUUAGAGUGCUUAAAGCAAGCUUCAAAUGCCUGAAUAUUCUGUGCAUGGGAUAAUGAAAUAAGACCUCUGUUCUGCUUUCAUUGGUUUUCAGAUCAAGAGGUAAUGAUUAAUAGAAGCAGUUUGGGGGCAUUAGUAUUACGACGCGAGAGGUGAAAUUCUUGGACCGUCGUAAGACUAACUUAAGCGAAAGCAUUUGCCAAAGAUGUUUUCAUUAAUCAAGAACGAAAGUUAGAGGUUCGAAGGCGAUCAGAUACCGCCCUAGUUCUAACCAUAAACGAUGCCAGCUAGCAAUUGGGUGUAGC
rnacentral:rRNA from 1 species